AUUGAACGCUGGCGGCAUGCUUUACACAUGCAAGUCGAACGGCAGCACGGGUGCUUGCACCUGGUGGCGAGUGGCGGACGGGUGAGUAAUACAUCGGAACGUAUCCUGAAGUGGGGGAUAACGCAUCGAAAGAUGUGCUAAUACCGCAUAUACUCUGAGGAGGAAAGUAGGGGAUCGAAAGACCUUAUGCUUUUGGAGCGGCCGAUGUCUGAUUAGCUAGUUGGUAAGGUAAUGGCUUACCAAGGCAACGAUCAGUAGUUGGUCUGAGAGGACGACCAGCCACACUGGGACUGAGACACGGCCCAGACUCCUACGGGAGGCAGCAGUGGGGAAUUUUGGACAAUGGGCGCAAGCCUGAUCCAGCAAUGCCGCGUGAGUGAAGAAGGCCUUCGGGUUGUAAAGGCUCUUUCAGUUGAGAAGAAAAGAAUUAGUAACUUAAAUAAAUUAGCAAUCCAAUGACGGUAUCGACAGAAGAAGACACCGG
rnacentral:rRNA from 1 species